rnacentral:lncRNA from 1 species
GCACCUUUCAGAGGGUUACAGCCUGCCCCUCUCUUGGAGCACUCAUGCCAGGGCCUGGUGGAGUGGCCCAGGACAGCCUUCACAUAGGGAGUCACACUGAGACUGAACCAGUUGGUGAACCAUCAUGGUGGCCUCCCUACAACAAGCCACUGGCAGGGGCAAGUGGAGGAAUUUUAAACUUCCUGGCCUUCUACUUUCAGGUGCCAGCCAGCUGUGUCCCAGGAUUCUCUCUUUAUGGUCUCCCUGCAUUAAGUCUGGGGCUUUCUGGAAUAUUCUGUGGAAGCCAUGUCUUCUCUUUUGGCGGGAUGGUAAAGUCUAAUAUCCUUAAUCUUCAAUAUGACAUGCAGAGGCCAGAGAAAAUCAUCAGCUCAUGAAGAGAAAAGCUGCUUCAGCAAAACAAUGCAUCCCCAGCAAGUUCUGCUUCAGAUGGAGAGGAGGAUGCCCAGAGCUGAUCCAAGGGGCAGUGUGAAAUCUAAGACCACAGCCCAGAGGUUUGCCUGCCAGGCCUGUCCAAGGAAGGAAUUCAAUGAAGAGGACAUAGGACACUCUUGAUAUCUGCUAAAGAGUUCUCAGAGAGUUCCCAGGAAGGCAAAACUUAGAAUCUGCUGAGGUAGGGUGUGGAGGAGGGGACAGGACCACUGCAUGACAAAGGCCUCACUCAUGCUUUCUGGGCUUCUCUCUGGUUGCACUCCCCUCCCCACCACGUCCUCCAAGCAAGGCUCAAUCCAGGGUGGUGAAGGCCAGCAGAAGACUUUGUCAGAGCAAUAGGAAUACACUGUGAAGAAUCUCUACUCUAAUGCUACACUGAAGCUUACUGUAUUCAAGGCAGAGACCAGGAUGCUAAGCCUUGUAGAUCCUUCUCUGCUCUUUACAUACCUCUCUUCACACCCACUUCCCCCACAUUUCAUCUCUAACCUCCCCGCCAACAACAACAGCAACAAUAACCUCACACCUUAGCUACAAUUCACACUCCUUGUGUAAACAAAAAGGCUCCUUAGCGAGUUUCCACAUUGUACAUUUCACUUGUUACCUCCAUAGGUGGUAUUAUUUGCACUUAGGUGUGUUAAUAGUAAGACUCUAGUAACAAUACUCAGCACAUUUUUAACCCUUCAAAGGGUUUUCUCAGCUAUUAUGUGGUUUUUACACUCUCAGAUACAAAAUUCACAGAGACCAGCAGGAUGGGUAUUGUUCCCAAUUUAUAAAUCAAGAAAAGUAAUUCACAGAUGUUAAGUGCCUUGCCUAAAGUUUAUGGCACCGUUGAAACCAGUUCCCAGGUUUCUUGAUCCUUACCCAAGGACUCAUUCUAUGAAAAAGUUCUGUGCUACCUGGGUGGAAUGAUUAUUAUAGGAGAAAUUUGGCAGGGCUGAGCUACACGUGAUGGGAAGAAAGCUACUCAAGCCAAGCCUUGCCAGUGCCCAGAUUCAAUUAAAUAUCAUCAGGAAAAGGGCGAUUCAGUGUGUGCACUUCUCAUCGCUUCCUGCUCUCAUGCUGCCCCUGGGGACUGGCACAGAACCGCAGGGACUGUGAUCCAGGCUGCUCUUCUGGGCCAGCGAUGCCUCCGCCUGUAGGCUCACCCAGGAGAGGGAGGCCUGCUGGAGGCUGCAGCUCAAAGCAGAUGGGCGAGCCCAUCAAUGUACUCAACACUGCCCCCUAGCUCAUGGAGGCACUGCGAGAGACAGCGACUCAAAGGCUGUCUUUAUGGACCCCAAAUGAUUCGGUUAGCCCUAUAUGCUUCCCUACCCCAGGUACACGGGUUGAGUGAGAGAACAAAGUCAGAAUUUAGGGGUCAAAGUAAGAUGAGUAAUAUUAAAAGGCAGUUAUAUGAGUGACUAAACAAAGAGAUAAACGGGGUUGCUUCUUACUCCCCCAGAUGCCAUCCCAAAAUGUGUAGGUGAUAACAUGUGUGGGGAAAGGGAGUUGUCUCUUCCUGGUUUGCCAUAUCUGAACAACAACCAUGGCAUUUGACUUAGGUUUUUUUUUUUUUCAGAUUAUUUAUUUCUUCAUGAGAGACAGAGAGAGAGAGAGAGAGAGAGAGAGGCAGAGACAAGGCAGAGGGAGAGGCAGGCUCUCCUCAGGGAGCCCAACGCAGGACUCCAUCCCAGGACCCCAAGAUCACAACCUGAGCCGAAGGCAGACCCUCGACCGCUGAGUAACCCAGGCAUCCCUGACUUAGCAUUUCUGUAGCAUUUCUUUCCAACAGAGCCUGGCACUUGCCACAGCCACCUUUUCUUGGCUUGCUGACAUAGCCCUGUCCAAUAAGAUGAGUAGGAGCAAGCAGUCCAUGGCCUAAGACUGUUCCCAUCAUCCUGCAAGGCCUAACAUAAAAUUUAACCUUUUUUCAUAAGGUCUUUUCUGAUCCCUUCCAAUUAUCCAUGAGAUUUCCUUCCUUUCAAGGCUCAAAAUAUUCAUCUCUAAACUCAUGUCUUUUUUUAAACAGAUAUUUGUGCAGUAGGCUCACUCCACCACAAGGAAUAGUCAUUAAUCGUGUUCCUUGGGGGUAAGGACUGAGUCCCACUCACCGUUUACUCACCCCAAGGUCUGGCAAUUAUAUCUUGGCCACAGUGAGGGCUCUAUGAAUGCUGUUCAACAGAUGUGAAUUAUUUUCUCCCCACAUCUACGCUGGGACCUCUCAUAGCCACUUCUGACCAUAGUGGGCGCUCACCUCCAUGGAAGCAACUAAGCAGAGACACAGACUUUAUCGAUGUAAGCAAAGUUGGGCAAACUGAUCGGGAGUUUGGACGAGGUGAUUGCUGAGGUUCCUUCUAGUUCUGAAACAAUUCUUAAAUUUUGACUAAAUGGAAAAAAAGGAUGAGUAAAUUUGGAGGGGAAUAAUAGAUAUUGAAAUAACAAAUAAAUGAAAAGGGAUUUGGGUAUGUUGCA